UACAGAGGUCCCAAGCGUUGUUCGGAUUCACUGGGCGUAAAGGGUGCGUAGGCGGUCGGGUAAGUCUGACGUGAAAGCCCGGGGCUCAACCCCGGAAUGGCGUCGGAUACUCUCCGGCUGGAGGAUGGGAAGGGGGACUGGAAUGCUCGGUGUAGCAGUGAAAUGCGUAGAGAUCGAGCGGAACACCUGUGGCGAAGGCGAGUCCCUGGACCAUUCCUGACGCUGAGGCACGAAAGCUAGGGGAG
rnacentral:rRNA from 1 species